UGGGGAAUAUUGCACAAUGGGCGAAAGCCUGAUGCAGCAACGCCGCGUGAGUGAUGAAGGCCUUCGGGUUGUAAAGCUCUGUCUUCUGGGACGAUAAUGACGGUACCAGAGGAGGAAGCCACGGCUAACUACGUGCCAGCAGCCGCGGUAAUACGUAGGUGGCAAGCGUUGUCCGGAUUUACUGGGCGUAAAGGAUGCGUAGGCGGAUACUUAAGUCAGAUGUGAAAAUCCCGGGCUUAACUUGGGAACUGCAUUUGAAACUGGGUAUCUAGAGUGCGGGAGAGGAAAGUGGAAUUCCUAGUGUAGCGGUGAAAUGCUUAGAGAUUAGGAAGAACACCAGUGGCGAAGGCGACUUUCUGGACCGUAACUGACGCUGAGGCAUGAAAGCGUGGGGAGCAAACA
rnacentral:rRNA from 1 species